rnacentral:rRNA from 1 species
GAUGAACGCUGGCGGCGUGCCUAAUACAUGCAAGUCGAGCGAACAGACGAGGAGCUUGCUCCUCUGACGUUAGCGGCGGACGGGUGAGUAACACGUGGAUAACCUACCUAUAAGACUGGGAUAACUUCGGGAAACCGGAGCUAAUACCGGAUAAUAUAUUGAACCGCAUGGUUCAAUAGUGAAAGACGGUUUUGCUGUCACUUAUAGAUGGAUCCGCGCCGCAUUAGCUAGUUGGUAAGGUAACGGCUUACCAAGGCAACGAUGCGUAGCCGACCUGAGAGGGUGAUCGGCCACACUGGAACUGAGACACGGUCCAGACUCCUGCGGGAGGCAGCAGUAGGGAAUCUUCCGCAGUGGGCGAAAGCUUGACGGAGCAACGCCGCGUGAGUGAUGAAGGUCUUCGGAUCGUAAAACUCUGUUAUUAGGGAAGAACAAAUGUGUAAGUAACUAUGCACGUCUUGACGGUACCUAAUCAGAAAGCCACGGCUAACUACGUG